rnacentral:rRNA from 1 species
GACGAACGCUGGCGGCGUGCUUAACACAUGCAAGUCGAACGGUGAAGCGCCUUCCUUUUUGGUGGGUGUGGAUGAGUGGCGAACGGGUGAGUAACACGUGAGUAACCUGCCCCCUUCUUCUGGAUAACCGCAUGAAAGUGUGGCUAAUACGGGAUAUUCUGGGUCUGUCGCAUGAUGGGUCUGGGAUAGAUAUUGUUUCGGUGGGGGAUGGGCUCGCGGCCUAUCAGCUUGUUGGUGGGGUGAUGGCCUACCAAGGCGGUGACGGGUAGCCGGCCUGCGAGGGUGGACGGUCACACUGGGACUGAGACACGGCACAGACUCCUACGGGAGGCAGCAGUGGGGAAUAUUGAACAAUGGGAGCAAGCCUGAUGCAGCGACGCCGCGUGAGGGAUGGAGGCCUUCGGGUUGUGAACCUCUUUCGCAUGUGAAGCAGGCCUGCCUCGUUUGUGGGUGGGUUGACGGUAGCUGGAUAAGAAGCGCCGGCUAACUACGUG